rnacentral:tRNA from 1 species
GUUAAGAUGGCUGAGUAUAGGCGGUAAACUGUAAAUUUGCUAACGAAUCUAAUUCUCUUAAUA